rnacentral:rRNA from 1 species
UGAGUACGUGGACGUAGACCCGAAACCGGGUGAUCUACCCCUGUCCAGGGUGAAGGUGCGGUAACACGCACUGGAGGCCCGAACCCACGCAUGUUGAAAAAUGCGGGGAUGAGGUGGGGGUAGCGGAGAAAUUCCAAUCGAACCCGGAGAUAGCUGGUUCUCCCCGAAAUAGCUUUAGGGCUAGCCUCGGAAAAAAGAAUCGUGGAGGUAGAGCACUGAUUGGGUGCGGGGCCCGCAAGGGUUACCAAGCUCAGUCAAACUCCGAAUGCCAUAGAUUUAGUUCCGGGAGUCAGACAGUGAGUGCUAAGAUCCAUUGUCGAAAGGGAAACAGCCCAGACCAUCAGCUAAGGUCCCCAAGUGUGUGUUAAGUGGGAAAGGAUGUGGAGUUGCACAGACAACCAGGAUGUUGGCUUAGAAGCAGCCACCAUUGAAAGAGUGCGUAAUAGCUCACUGGUCGAGUGACUCUGCGCCGAAAAUGUAACGGGGCUAAACACACCACCGAAGCUAUGGCUUGAUGCUUUGCAUCAGGGGUAGGGGAGCGUUGAAUGCGGGUUGAAGGUGUACCGGAAGGAGCGCUGGACUGCAUUCAAGUGAGAAUGCCGGUAUGAGUAACGAAAAGAUCUGUGAGAAUCAGAUCCGCCGAAAGCCUAAGGGUUCCUGAGGAAGGUUCGUCCGCUCAGGGUAAGUCGGGACCUAAGGCGAGGCCGAUAGGCGUAGUCGAAGGACAACAGGUGGAAAUUCCUGUACCACCGUAAUCCGCUAUGAGCGAUGGGGUGACGCAGUAGGGUAGUGACGCGGACUGAUGGAUGUCCGUCUAAGCAGUGAGGCUGGUGUGUAGGCAAAUCCGCACAUCGUUAAGGCUGGGCUGUGAUGGGGAGCGAAAAUUGGAGUAGCGAAGGUCAUGAUCUCAGACUGCCAAGAAAAGCCUCUAGCCAGGAGAAGGUGCCCGUACCGCAAACCGACACAGGUAGGCGAGAAGAGAAUUCUAAGGCGCGCGGAAGAACUCUCGUUAAGG